rnacentral:rRNA from 1 species
GACAGAGGGGGCAAGCGUUGCUCGGAAUUACUGGGCGUAAAGGGCGCGUAGGCGGGAUGGCAAGUCGGUCGUGAAAUCCCUCGGCUCAACCGAGGAACGUCGAUCGAUACUGCUGUUCUUGAGGAUUGCAGAGGAGACUGGAAUUCCCGGUGUAGCGGUGAAAAUGUGUAGAGAUCGGGAGGAACACCGGUGGCGAAGGCGGGUCUCUGGGCAAUUCCUGACGCUGAGGCGCGAAGCGUGGGGAGCAAACGGG